GUGUAUGUAACUCAGUGGUAGAGAUUCUCUAACAUGUACAAGAUCAUGGGUUCCAUCCCCCCCACACACA
rnacentral:tRNA from 1 species